UCAUGGGGUGUUUAGAUACUAAUAAAAACAAAUUACAAAAUUCGCCAGCAAACCUGAGACAUAUUUAUUAAGUCUAAUUAUUUUAUUAUUAGCACACGUGUUACUAUAGCACUUUAUUAUCAAAUCUUAGACUUUCGCAAAGUAGUUGUAAUAUUGUGCAAUUAGUUAUUUUUUAGUAUAUAUUUAAUGAUUUUUAUGCAUGUGUCUAAACAUUCGAUGAUGGUGUAACUUUUGGGGGG
rnacentral:lncRNA from 1 species